rnacentral:rRNA from 1 species
GACGAACGCUGGCGGCGUGCUUAACACAUGCAAGUCGAACGGAAAGGCCCUGCUUUUGUGGGGUGCUCGAGUGGCGAACGGGUGAGUAACACGGGGUUAACCUCCCCUUGACUUUGGGUUACUUUAAGGAAACUGGGGUAAAUACGGAAAAGAAGCUCCGGUGGCUUGUUGGGGUUUGGAAGGUUUCGGCGGUUGGGGAUGGACUCGCGGCUUAUCAGCUUGUUGGUGGGGUAGUGGCUUACCAAGGCUUUGACGGGUAGCCGGCCUGAGAGGGUGACCGGCCACAUUGGGACUGAGAUACGGCCCAGACUCCUACGGGAGGCAGCAGUGGGGAAUAUUGCACAAUGGGCGGAAGCCUGAUGCAGCAACGCCGCGCGCGGGAUGACGGCCUUCGGGUUGUAAACCGCUUUCGCCUGUGACGAAGCGUGAGUGACGGUAAUGGGUAAAGAAGCACCGGCUAACUACGUG